rnacentral:rRNA from 1 species
AGGCGAUAAAUCAUUCAAGUUUCUGACCUAUCAGCUUUCGACGGUAUGGUAUUGGCUUACCGUGGCAGUGACGGUUAACGGGGGAUUAGGGUUCGAUUCCGGAGAGGGAGCCUGAGAAACGGCUACCACAUCUAAGGAAGGCAGCAGGCGCGCAAAUUACCCAAUUCUAACAGUUUGAGAGAGGUAGUAACAAGAAAUAACAAUACAAGGCAAUUAAAAUGNUUUGUAAUUGGAAUGAUAGAAAUUUAAACCCUUUUUAAAGUAUCAAUUGGAGGGCAAGUCUGGUGCCAGCAGCCGCGGUAAUUCCAGCUCCAAUAGCGUAUAUUAAAAUUGUUGCAGUUAAAAAGCUCGUAGUUGAAGUUCUGCUAAAAGUAACCGGUCUGCUUUUAAUAAAAGUGGUAUCUUGGUGUGUAUUUAGCAAUGAUGUCCUUUGAAGUGUUUUUUACUUUAUUGUAAUAAAGCAUAUUCAGGACUUUUACUUUGAGAAAAUUAGAGUGUUUCUAGCAGGCCGACGCUUUGAAUACUGCAGCAUGGAAUAAUAAGAA